AUAGCGUAUAUUAAAGUUGCUGCAGUUAAAAAGCUCGUAGUUGAAUUUCGGGACUAAUAUGUCGGUCGUGCCUCGGUACGUACUGGUUUAUUGGUUUCUCCUUUCUGAAGAACCAUGAUGUCAUUUAUUUGGUGUCGUGGGGAAUCAGGACUGUUACUUUGAAAAAAUUAGAGUGUUUAAAGCAGGCUCACGCUUGAAUACAUUAGCAUGGAAUAAUGAAAUAGGACGUGCGGUUCUAUUUUGUUGGUUUCUAGAGUCGCCGUAAUGAUUAAUAGGGAUAGUUGGGGGCAUUAGUAUUCAGUUGCUAGAGGUGAAAUUCUUGGAUUUACUGAAGACUAACUACUG
rnacentral:rRNA from 1 species